UUGGAGAAAGCCGAAAAUCCGAAGAGUAGGAA
rnacentral:ncRNA from 1 species